UUGGGGCAGAUGGUGUUGGUGUAGAGGAGCUAAAGGAAGAAGAGAGUAAAGGAGAGGAGAGGCAGAUUAAAGGAGAGACAGAGAAAAGGAGAGACAGAGUAAAGGAGAGGAGAGACAGCGCUGGGGAUCGCGGAGGAAAUGAAACGGCGUCUGCAGAAGAAGUAUCUCCUCCUGAUCCUCGGCUAUUCCGUGGUUCUGCUCCUCAUCCCGUACGUGUUGGACCUUCACAGUAAAUCUGCUCAGGUGCGUCAUGGAGCUCCGGAGCCGCGCCGGCAGCAGCAGCAGCGGUGUCCGGACCUGGAGAAGAGCUUGACGCUGUGGAACUCCAGCGAGUCCGCGGAGGACAGCGGAGCAAACAGGAACCGCACCAAAACGCACAUCUAUCUCCACGCGACAUGGAGGACGGGAUCGUCUUUCCUGGGGGAGCUGUUUAACCAGCACCCGGAUGUGUUCUACCUGUACGAGCCGAUGUGGAACAUGUGGCAGGCGCUGUAUCCGGGGGACGCGGGGAGUCUGCAGGGCGCAGUGCGGGACAUGAUGAACUCUCUGUUCCGCUGCGACUUCUCUGUGCUCAGGCUGUACGCGGGCACCGCCAACAUCAGCACCUCGUUCAUUUUCGGCUGGAAGACUAACAAGGUGAUCUGCUCUCAGCCUCUGUGCGCGGCGUACAAAAAGUCCCAGGUGGGACUGGUGCAAGGAGACGAGUGCGCCAAGUGCGCGCCCAGAGACAUCCGAGAGCUGGAGAGGGAGUGCAAGAAAUAUCCCGUGGUGGUUAUUAAGGAUGUUAGAGUGUUAGACCUGGGAGUGCUGGUGCCCCUGGUGCGAGAUCCUACACUCAAUUUGCAGAUCAUUCAGCUCUUCAGGGAUCCCCGAGCCGUACACAACUCCAGGCUCAAGUCCAAGCAGGCACUGGUGCGAGAAAGCAUCCAGGUUCUCCGGAGCAAGAAGCAGAGUGACAAAUACAAGCGCCUGCUCUCACCUGGGAACCGUGUGAACCGCGCCGAGAGCUAUGUAGCCGGUGCCAUGGAGCUGAUCUGUGACUACUGGCUCGGGGAUAUGCUCCUGGUGAACGGCGCACCUCCGUGGCUUAAGCGCAACUACCUGCAGAUCCGCUAUGAGGACCUAGUGCUUCAUCCCAUCAACGAGCUGCACCGACUUUACCGCUUCGCCAACCUGAGCACGUCUCCAGAGCUGGAGAGGUUUGUGAUGAACAUGACGCGAGGGCAGGGAUACUCUUCAGACCGGCCCUUCCUCAUCUCAGCGAGGGACGCCAAGGAAGCCAUAUUUGCCUGGAGAGAGAGGCUGAGUGUGGAUCAGGUGGGGCAGGUGGAGGCUUCCUGCAGCGAGGUGAUGCGCCACCUGGGAUACGAGAAGAGGAACCUGGAGCAGAAGUAAGAGAGCGUACAGAUUCAGAAUAACACCCUGAAAUAUAAAUAAAAAAUCUAAACACGCUCCAACGUCUCUGAAGAUACAAGCAAUAAAACUAAAAAGGCUCUGGCCCAGAUGUGCCAUUUACAUCUGUAUACAGAGCCGUGACCCAGCUGUGAAAUGUGACAGAGUGACGUGACGUCUGUCACAGCAGGACGCGAGAGUCGGCGGUAAAGCUGGCAGGAGUGUAACCGCUUCUCUCACCCCGUCUCCAUGAAGCCUAAAGAGAGGAACGAGGAGAGUGAGAAAAGAGACCAGGCCAAAGUGAAGCUACAGUGAGAGACAGGAACACUGUCCUUCACCGAUCUGUGGAGGAUUGACACUAGGAACAGUUCCAGUCUAAGAGCAGAAGCUCCACAGCGGUGCCGGUCCGAGUCCGACACCAAGGAGACGAGAGGCUUCCGAGGACACUGACAAUAACAUGGAGGAGUUUAAACACUAACUAUGACGAGUGAAGCUGAGACGCCUGGGAGGUGACCGAGCUGGCCAUAUGUGUGUGUUGGCUGUCGGCCAUGUUUGACCAGCGACUAACGCUCCUCUUCCCGUCAUCAGCUGCAGGACAUAGAGCUCAGGGCUCUGGGGUUUAUUCUGUGUGUGUGUGUGUGUGUGUGUGUGUGUGUGUGUGUGCGUGUUGAGCCUGUGAUAUGAGUGCCAUUUCACACUUUAACUUUUACAAACACCAGGAAUCAAUGGUUGUUUACACCACAUUCUUUUUAGAAACCUCCUGAAAAGACAUGUUUAUAAACACUUAAUAAUGCAGCAUAAGCAUUCCAUUAAAUUCUGUGUACGAUUUGUGGCUGAGAACAAACCUCAGCACAAAUAUGUCGGACAAUCAUCUGAAUGUUCCGUAACACGAUACUUAUGAGCAGUGUUCAUAAGGUUAAGUCUCAUAAGCUUACAUAGACAUUUACGUGGCUUCAUAGAAAUUCGCAUCAUCUGUCCUGAUGAUGAUUCUGGCCAAAAUCUACAUAACACUGUUAGAACAGAAUUAUUACGGUCAUAUGUAUUUGUAUAAAUGUUAUAAGUAGAAACAUUACAGAGUGACUCAGAACAUACAGUAAAUAGCCCUGUCACGACAUGUCGUAGGCGCUCAUGAAAUACUGUGAGCAAAAAUAAAACUCUGCUUAAAAGGCUAGAAAAAAUUUACCUAAAUGUGUCAUGGUCAUAGGUAUUCAUAAAGAUGUUAUAAGCAGAAAUAUGAAAAUUAACUUUUAAUUAAUUAAAGUAUAAUUAAAGAGUCAGAGUCAUGUUAUGAUGCUGUCAUAGGUGUUCAUAAACUUAAAGACAGUAUGUGAAUAUUUACUUAAGGGCCAGAGAACAAAAAUACACAGGACUGUUAUAAUGGUGUUGUGACAUGAGCAUAGGAGUUCACAAAAGGCUUAUAAGCAAAACUUAUCCUAGCACCGUCAUAACAGUGUCAUGAAGUGGACAAAGGUGGUCGUAAAGGCAAUACUUUGUAAAUAAAUAAAUAAAUAAAUACAUUUAAUUAAAAUAUAUAUAGAAAAAAGCUCUAAUUCAUGAUCAUAGGCAGUGAUGGAAAUGUUAUAAAGCAAAUUAUGAGAGAUUGAUAAAAUCUAUAGCUGUGUUAUUACAUGUAACGACUUGUCAUAAGUCUUCAUAGUAUGAUCCUUGCUUUACUUAAAAAACACAUAGCUACUGUAUGUUAUUACAGUCUAAUUAUGAUGCUUUAGUGUCAUAAGAUAAGCUCAUGUCACACGAAGCAUGCCUUUAUAAACAGCUAUGUAGGUUUGUCAGCGGUCAUGUAGCUUUAUGAACACUGCUCUGUAAACAAGCGAGGUGUUACCGAACGUUUGAGUUACCAUGGUGACAGUAUUAAGAACAUCUCGUAUCAUGAACUAACACGAACUACGUCGAGUCGAAGAACUCGCUCUGAGAAAAAAAAGUUAUUUAUGAAAACAUUUUGUAAAUAAAGAGAGUUUUUUUUGUAAA